GACGAACGCUGGCGGCGUGCCUAAUACAUGCAAGUCGAGCGCAGGAAGCUGACGGAACUCUUCGGAGGGAAGGCAGUGGAAUGAGCGGCGGACGGGUGAGUAACACGUAAGGAACCUGCCUCAAGGAUUGGGAUAACUCCGAGAAAUCGGAGCUAAUACCGGAUAGUUCAACGGACCGCAUGGUCCGCUGAUGAAAGGCGCUUCGGCGUCACCUUGAGAUGGCCUUGCGGUGCAUCAGCUAGUUGGUGGGGUAACGGCCUACCAAGGAGACGAUGCAUAGCGGCCCUGAGAGGGUGAUCGGCCACACUGGGACUGAGACACGGCCCAGACACCUACGGGAGGCAGCAGUAGGGAAUCUUCCACAAUGGACGAAAGUCUGAUGGAGCAACGCCGCGUGAGUGAUGAAGGUUUUCGGAUCGUAAAACUCUGUUGUAAGGGAAGAACACGUACGAGAGGGAAUGCUCGUACCUUGACGGUACCUUACGAGAAAGCCACGGCUAACUACGUGCCAGCCGCCGCAGUAA
rnacentral:rRNA from 1 species